AGCGAACGCUGGCGGCAGGCCUAACACAUGCAAGUCGAACGAAGUCUUCGGACUUAGUGGCGGACGGGUGAGUAACACGUGGGAACGUACCUUUUGGUUCGGAACAACUCAGGGAAACUUGAGCUAAUACCGGAUGAGCCCUUAGGGGGAAAGAUUUAUCGCCGAAAGAGCGGCCCGCGUUAGAUUAGUUAGUUAGUGGGGUAAAGGCCUACCAAGGCGAUGAUCUAUAGCUGGUCUGAGAGGAUGACCAGCCACACUGGGACUGAGACACGGCCCAGACUCCUACGGGAGGCAGCAGUGGGGAAUAUUGGACAAUGGGGGCAACCCUGAUCCAGCAAUGCCGCGUGAAUGAAGAAGGCCUUAGGGUUGUAAAGUUCUUUUAUUGAUGAAGAUAAUGACGGUAAUCAAUGAAUAAGCACCGGCUAACUUCGUGCCAGCAGCCGCCGUAACAC
rnacentral:rRNA from 1 species